AAAUACAUUAGCUGGCGGAGAUAAGGGAGGGCAGGGGAGUUUAAUUGCCGCUAAAAUAGAUACAGUAGGUAACCAAAAUAGAAGGCACAAAACCAGCCUGCGGUCUCGUUUUCUGCUGUGGUAGAGGGCGUCCGUGAUCACGUGACCUGCAGCCACUUGGAAAGCUUCCAAAGCUGAUGAUGGUCUGGAAGAUGUAGGAAACGGACCAAUAUUGCGCCAGAUCUACACUCUAGAAGGGGCUUUGGUGACAUUCUCAUUUAGACCAUGAAGACCAGUGCAGACCUCAGGUAAAAAAUUCAGGAUUGAACGGCUUAAUGCCUGAAGGAAUGGCAAAGACACCAGGGCUAACCAGGAGCAGAGGCUUCUCAUCCUGCACAACUGGUUCUGAUCACAGCUCCCAAUACUUGGUAAGUUAUUAGGGUGGGCAGGGAAGGAGACGGGGGACAACAGAUAGACAGACAGGUAGUGGGUGGCCUUAAUUGAACACUGAGGGUAAAAAGACAUUCAGUUUGGCUGAGGGCGGUGGCUCCAUAAUCUAUGUAACACCUACAAUCCUAACGCUUGAUAGGGCAAAGCAAGAAGACUGCCCUAUGUUGGAGGUAAGUUUGGAGAACACAAUGAGUUCCAGGCUAUCCUGAGCUACUGGAUGUUUUAAAGAGCAAGUAAACAAAAGUAUAUAAUAAUUUAUAAGAUCUUUUCACAUGUAGAUUAACAGUGCAAAUGACAAUUGUUGAGGAUGACUUCUGAAAACAUACACUGAUGUCACAGUUAGACAAACCUAUGGGCUCUUUUUCUAUGACAACAGAUGUAAUGAAGCUGAAACUCUGACAUGUUACAUGGCUAAGGGACAACUUAGAGCAGCACUGAUGCGCUGCACCCAGCACAAGGACAGCUGCGACACACUUGUCAAGCUGCCUGCGUGGUCCUAAAGAAACAACAUCGUCCUUAGAGGAAGCUGCCCCUACAGCAAAGAUUCCCACAUAAUUCACUUUUCCACAGAGACCUUUUGGAAAUGAUCUCACUUUUGCUUGGUGUGCAUGAUGUAUGUAUGUGUCUAUACGUGUUUGCGUGUGUAUGCACACAUGUGGAGGCCAGAGGUCAACAUCAGCAUCCUUUUCAACUGUUUUCUAACUUAUACUCUGAAAGAGGUCUUUAUUGACUCCGGAGCUCUCACAGACUGACUGGCUGGGCUGACAGCGAGCACGAGGCAUCCCCCUGCCUCUACCUCCCAGCACAGGGACGACAGAGCAUCAGUACCAGGCCCAGCACUUUACUUCGGCACUUGGACCCUCACCCAGGUCGGAAUGUUUGCCUGGCGCACACGGUCUCUGACCGAGACAUGUUCCUCGCCCCACUUUUAUAUCUUAACAAAAAAUACACUAAUAGUAAGUGCAUCGGGUUCUUCACCACUCACGGACACUAUCAUAAGCGACUGCCACUGCUACAAUUGUAGAGGUAAAGGUUGCUAGGGCACAGAGGACAGUCCUUGGGAGGCCAGCAUUAUGGCCAUGGCCAGAGUUCUGGUGCUGCACUCACUAGAAUACAAACAGGUUUAUCUUCAUCAGUUCUUUGUGUUUAACGGCCUCUUCUUCCAGUCUAACUGAAAUAACAUAUCUAAUAUAUGCAACCAUGUCAGUGUAAUGACCCCAGAUUGUCCUUAUGCAUAUCCCUUGAGCAAAUUGGAUAAUUCACCAGUUUCUCCCCUGAUAAAAACUGAGCUUCAAGAAUAAAGGUGUGCCUUUGAUAAUUUUUUUCAAAUUACCAAUUUUCACACCAAGACUGUUGCUCCAGAACUGUGAGUCGGUGUCACCAUCUUGGGGUGGACUGACAGGUAUGUGACAGAAGGUGGGCGUUUGCUCCAAGCACUCCCUUGACUCUGCCGAUGAUGCCGUUGCUCUAAGCGCCUGAAUCUCGAGCUUGAAGAACACUACUACUGGUGAACCCCAUGACAAACACCCACUUUUAUAUGGUGAGAGAGACCCUCAGAAACAACCAAAUUCGCAUUUACAGCCAUACAAACAGUGUGGGUGAGAAAGCCUUGAGCUACCACGGACACUAUUCAUGACAGAAGGUCCUGGAGCAUGCAUCACACACAUCUAAUCCACACUCAAGUUUUUCAAGAAAGAUAAGUUGAAUUUUUAACAGCCUGAUCUUUUCCCUCUAUUUUCUACAAAUAUUUAUUGAGUUUCUACCACUGCCGAUACCAGGCUGGAUUCCAGGACAGAACUAUAAACAAAAAGGUUUCAUGGAGCAACAAUCUGAGACUGAUUAAAUGAUCAUUAAAUGAAAAUAAAAAUUGGCAUGUA